AAAUGAAUAGACGGGGGCCCGCACAAGCGGUGGAGCAUGUGGUUUAAUUCGAUGCAACGCGAAGAACCUUACCAAGGCUUGACAUCCCUCUUGACGGUUUAGAGAUAGACCGGCCCUUUUGGGGAGAGGAGACAGGUGGUGCAUGGUUGUCGUCAGCUCGUGUCGUGAGAUGUUGGGUUAAGUCCCGCAACGAGCGCAACCCUUACCUUCAGUAGCCAUCACGUUAAGGUGGGCACUCUGGAGGGACUGCCGUGGAUAACACGGAGGAAGGCGGGGAUGACGUCAAAUCAUCAUGCCCUUUAUGUCUUGGGCAACACACGUGCUACAAUGGCUGUAACAAAGUGACGCAAGCAUGUGAAUGUAAGCAAAACACAAAAAAACAGUCUCAGUUCGGAUUGUAGUCUGCAACUCGACUAUAUGAAGCUGGAAUCGCUAGUAAUCGCGAAUCAGCAUGUCGCGGUGAAUACGUUCCCGGGCCUUGUACACACCGCCCGU
rnacentral:rRNA from 1 species